GAUGAACGCUGGCGGCGUGCCUAAUACAUGCAAGUCGAGCGAACGGACGAGAAGCUUGCUUCUCUGAUGUUAGCGGCGGACGGGUGAGUAACACGUGGAUAACCUACCUAUAAGACUGGGAUCCCUUCGGGAAACCGGAGCUAAUACCGGAUAAUAUUUUGAACCGCAUGGUUCAAAAGUGAAAGACGGUCUUGCUGUCACUUAUAGAUGGAUCCGCGCUGCAUUAGCUAGUUGGUAAGGUAACGGCUUACCAAGGCAACGAUGCAUAGCCGACCUGAGAGGGUGAUCGGCCACACUGGAACUGAGACACGGUCCAGACUCCUACGGGAGGCAGCAGUAGGGAAUCUUCCGCAAUGGGCGAAAGCCUGACGGAGCAACGCCGCGUGAGUGAUGAAGGUCUUCGGAUCGUAAAACUCUGUUAUUAGGGAAGAACAGAUGUGUAAGUAACUGUGCACAUCUUGACGGUACCUAAUCAGAAAGCCACGGCUAACUACGUG
rnacentral:rRNA from 1 species